UUCGCUCCGUGCACCGAAUGUCUGGGGUGCCGCAGCCGAGCCCCCCGCGAUCAGAAAUCUUAUCCCCUAUCUGCGCCUUUUACACAGAACUUACGACCACAGAGGACAUGUAUUUUACCCUGUAGAGCAGCCAUUUCGGAGUCCCUCCUGCAGUAUAUCAGCAAGUGACUGCUUACCUUUCCUGAACCUGUGUGGCCAUGUCCAAUGCUGGCUCAACGGAGGGUGAAGGUUCCUCAGAGACAACUAUGUCGCAGGAUAGUAUUGCGCAGCCCCGGAUUUACAGAUCUAACUAGUUCAAUGCAAUGUUACAUACCAUGGACAAGUCUCUGCAUUGAUGCCAUAGGACACCUAUGAAACUUUAAGGCUACUUUCACACUGCCGUUAUGACAUCUGGGAAGAAUAGUGGGAGAAAAAUACUGCAAGCUCCUUCUUUUGUGUCCUGCUAAAUUAAUAUAUCUGUUCAGAUUUGCAGACCCAGCACGUCACUCUUAGCUGCAUUUGAUUGACAAGCUGUGGCCCCCUCUUUUGAUGGGCCCUCAGACACUCCGAAGCAUCUGUAUGGAUUCUCAUGUGCAGCCCCCAUUACCUUGUUGUAAUUUUUUCCCCUCCUGGACCUUAUUAGCACAGUCCACUACUUCAAAGCAACAAAAUCCAACAGCAGAGGCUACAGCUCUGGUCUGCCUUGAUCAUCAAUGUGCAGCACCACCAGGUGUUAAACAGAAAAACUGCAGGGAAUAGAUUUUGGAGAGGGGCGCUGCACACUACAUGGGGGCUGUGUUGAAACACCUUAGGCAGCGAAGGAGGAGGGGAUGGAGGGGGCUGAUAUCAAGAGAAAUACAAGGAGAGGAGGGGGUAAUAAGUUUGAUAUCAAGAGAAAUACAAGCAGAGGAGGGGGCAAUAAGUCUGAUAUCAAGAGAAAUACAAGGAGAGGAGGGGGUAAUACGUCUGAUAUCAAGAGUUAUCAAAAGUCAUCACAAUCGUGGGCUGCCACUCUAGAUCUAGGGCACUUGGGAGGCCUGAGUGGAAUCUGGAGGCCAUAAAUUCUUUUUUCAAGGAGUUCUUGUCUUCAUCAUUGAUAUAUCUAGUGUUUAAUGUUUAUCUUAUUGCUUGCAUUGUGAUGUUGCUGUUAAACGUUUUUGCUCCUGCACAUUUCUUUAAAGGGGUACU